AUUGAACGCUGGCGGCGUGCUUAACACAUGCAAGUCGAUCGGUAACGCGGGGGCAACCCUGGCGACGAGAGGCGGACGGGUGAGUAACGCUUGGGAAGCUGCCCAUCAGCGGGGGACAACCCGGGGAAACGCGGGCUAAUACCGCAUACGUUCCACGGAGGAAAGCAUGGGACCGCAAUGCCCUGCCAUGAUGUAUGAGCCCUAGCCGGAUUAGCUAGUUGGCGGGGUAACGGCCCACCAAGGCGACGAUCCGUAGCUGGUCUGAGAGGACGAUCAGCCACACCGGAACUGAGACACGGUCCGGACUCCUACGGGAGGCAGCAGUGGGGAAUAUUGGACAAUGGGCGAAAGCCUGAUCCAGCGACGCCGCGUGGGUGAAGAAGGCCUGCGGGUUGUAAAGCCCUUUCGGUAGGGACGAAAACUCUUGCUCUAACAGAGCAGGAGCUUGACUUAACCUACAUAAGAAGCACCGGCUAACUCUGUGCCAGCCGCCGCCGUAAAAC
rnacentral:rRNA from 1 species